UAGCAGCCAUUUCAGCACACAUACAACAAGGUUCUUCAUUUAGUUUUUUUUAAAUAAGGUAACACAUGCAUAAGUUAAACACAUAGCUCACAACAACUAUGGACAUAGUUAAUUAGCAUUAUUUUGAGGUAACAUGGAACACCCUAAACACCUUAAGCAAGAAUUAAAGCAAAGGCGAAGAACUUAUAUAAGCAGUUGUUAUAUUAACAUGAGAGCAUACAUAUGAGUUAUAUUCAAAGCUUAACCACUACUUAUCAUAACUUAGCAUCAUAUGUACUCCUUAAAAACAACUAUUAAAAGCAUCACAUGACUUAAGUAUAUGCAUCUACUAGCAAACUUUCAUUAUCCAAUUAUAUAGUAAACAUACAUAUAUUAAUUAUAGCUGAUGUGGCAAAUAUCUCAUUUGGAUCUGAGAUUUUUAUGGAUGAUAGAUAUUAUCAAAA
rnacentral:lncRNA from 1 species